GAAAUUGUGAGAUCUUUUGUGUUGAUUCUUUUGAGAACUCAUGAAUUUAUCAAGAAUAUUUUCUUGUGACGUUCAAAUAUGACUUAUCGCUCUCUUUCUUUUCUACUUUAGAGUGUGACGUCAAUUUAUACCUUUGAUUCAUGUCAAUUAUAGACAUCGGGUCAAUGUUUUUUACACCUUUGGUUCAUGAUUAUCUAUAAUCAUUGGGUGAAGGUUUUUAUAUUUUUGAUUCGUGUCAAUUAUAGACAUUGGCUCAAGGUUUUCUUUAAUUUGAAAUCUGAUUUAGCUUUUCUGGGUUCCUAGCUUCCUUGCUUGCGUGUAGGGUCUCAUAGUUCAUUUGUGAGGUUUGCAUCAUUCAGCCUUCUUGACUUCUAUCUUUUUUAGAGAAGUAGAUAGGAUGUCAAGAGGUAGCCUUGCUUUUAUUAACCUUUGGAAGUUUGUUUGUUGGAUCAUUGUAUAGCUUUUUUCAUUAACUCGAGGUUUUCUUGUCCUAAGGUAAGACUUUUUUUAGUUAACAAAUUUUUAAUUACCAAAAAAAACAAGCAAGAUAGCAAAACAAUUGAAUACAAAUCUCAUUAGCACUUUUGUUUUUUUAUUGAGUAAUUUGGUUGUUCUCGGCUUAACUUAAGGACAUGUCCUAGGCAAGUCAUUUUGUUUUUUGUGUUUGGUGUUUGUUAGUUUUUUGGCUUUAUGGCCUUGCCUCUAGGUUGCUAUCUCCCCUUGUGAGUGUAGAUAUCUUCUCAAGAGGUUUGUUUUCCUUUGCUUGUGCUGUUGGUGUUCUUGUCCAUAGCUCGAGGUUUUAUCCGUGACAAGGCUUUCUUUCCUUCCUAGGCUCGUGGUAAGACUCUUUUUGGUGUUAAUAGAUGUUUAAUUACCAAAAAAAAAAAGCUUUACUUUGGGGCUACCUUGUAUUAUGUUUGGAGGGAGAGGAAUAAUGUGCUUUAUGAUAGAGGAUGGUCUUUAAAGGAAAGAACUGUCACUACCAUUAAGGAUUUGUGAGUGAUCGAGUCUCUUUAUCAAACAUUUGGAGAUCUUAUGAUAAUGAUAUCAUUACGCUUAAUUGGGACUUUUUUUUUUUGGUUGAUUAAGCAUAUUGUGCUUAAUUAGGAUUUGUUGAGAUCCAUCUUUGUUUAGGCCUUUUUUUUUUUUUUUUUUGCUUCUUAUAGGCUAUUGGUUUGGAUGCUUUAUGUGUUUUGUUGGUGUCUUAAUGCUUUUUUUUUUUUCCCUCUUUUUGGUUGCUAACUUUCCCUUGGCUUAGUUAGCUCUCAAGUAAAGGUGGUGUGGUUAGUGUGUUUGGCUUUAGCUCGGGGCUUUAUCUAUGGCAAGGCGUUGGCUUUCUUUCCUAACCCAAGGGCUUGUCCCAUGGUAGGCUCUUUUUGGUUAUAAAUUUUUUUACCAAAAAAAAAAAAAACCCUUAUAGUAAUUAUGCAUGAGUUCUUGGCAAAGAAGAAUGUUCUCACCAAUGCACCAACUUCCCACAAAGGCACCUUGAGCUAAUUAGCCAUAUUUUUGGUGAUGCACUUGUAGAUUGUGUUACAACAAGCAAUAGGCCUAUAGCCAUUGUAAAAGAGAAGGGUUCGAAACUUUAGGGACAAAAGCAAGGAUAAUACAAUUAACCUCUUUAAAAAGAUUACUCAAAAUGAAGAAAUGCCUGAUUGCCUUCAUUAUAUCUUCCCCAACAAUGUCCCAAGUUGCCUUAAAGAAACAAGCACUAUAAGCCAUCCAGACUUAGGGCCUUAUUAUUAUCCAUAGCAAAGAUGGUUUCCUUUAUCUCCUCCUCCCCCACGUCCAUGAGCAUUUCUUUCUCUUCAAGGCCUACUCGAAACUUGAGAAGUCUUUUAAUGAGUCAUCUAAUAAUGAAAGACUAUGACAAGAGUGUGGUAGGCUGGAUAACAUUGAGAACAUUGAAGACACAAGCUAAAUGUAAGAAGCAUGAUGUGGCAUUCAAGGAUGACAUGGCAAAUGAUGUUGAGACUAUCAAACACAUGGGAAAUGAUAUGGCACAUCCUUGGUGACGUUUUUACUUGUCAAAAUAUGAAGUGGAAGCUUGAUUAGGCAAAAGUUCAUGUGAAGAAAAUAUUUCUAGUUUUCUAGUAUUCAAUUGAAAUUUACCUUCCUAGUAUUUUUAGUUUUCUAGUUGUUUAGGAGUUUUAUUUGUUUUAAAACUCUUAGUUUUAUUUUCUUUAGGAAUUAUAAUUAUAUUAUGAUUAUUAUUUAGGAUUAUUAUUAUACUAGAGAUUAUGUUUGAUAUUAUCAUGAGGCUAUAAAUAAAUGUGUGACCCUGGGAUAGAUGAUACACAUUGGCAUAAUGAAAUUGUGAGAUCUUUUCUCUUGGUUUUUUUUUAGAACUCAUGAACUUAUCAAGAAUAUUUACUUAUGGCAUUCAAAUAUGACUUAUCACUCUCCUUCUUUUCUAUUCUAAAGUAUAGCGUCAACUUAUACCUUUGGUUCAUGUCAAUUAUAGACAUCGGGUCAAGGAUGUUAUGCAUUUGGUUCAUGAUUAUCCAUAAUCAUUGGGUCAAGGUUUUUAUACUUUUGGUUUGUGUUAAUUAUAGGCAUUGGGUUAAAAUUUUCUUUAAUCUGAAAUAUGAUUUAGCUUUUCUAAGCUCCUAGCUUCCUUGCUUGUGUGUAAGGUCUCAUAGUUCUUCUUUGAGGUUAACAUUAGUUUGUCAUCAAAACUCGGCUCUAAAUCAGCAAAAAGGGAAAAAAGCGAAAUUAAAAAAGAGAAAAAAUGAAAUUAAAAAAAAAAAGAAAAGUAAAGUUGUCUUUUUAUUUGAUUCCUUCCUAUAUUAGGAAUCCUACAACUUAAGGAAAAUAGAUCUUGUUUGAUAUAGACUUUAUGUCUUUCCUAAAUUGAAAUAGGAAAGUGUAAAUUAAAGGAAUACACUUUAUUUCUUUUCCAAUUUGUAAAAGGAUUUGCAUCUAAUUGAUUUUUCCCCUUAAUAUCUUGUGAUCUUCUCUUAUUCUCUUCCUAAAUCUGCAAACUUCUUCCAAAAAAAAAAAUCCGCAAACUUUAUUAUGCUUCUUGAAUUUUCCUUAUUCUUGGUUUGUUCUUUUAUCGCCUUCGUGUUUAUCUUUGUUUUUUUCCUCUUUUGAUCUUGGAUUGUUGGAAUUAGAUUAUUAUAAGGUAAUUUGAUUGAGAUUGUUUGAUUCAAUAAAGAAUUGAGAGAGGAAAGCUGAGUGAAAAAGAAAGAAGGCAAGAGACGUGAGCAACAUUAUUAUGUGCAAACACAAGAGAUUGAGUGACAUUUUGUUUUUUAGAUGAGUGAAACACGUGAGGAAGUGUGUGAGGUUCCUUUCUAACAUAUUUUGUAGGUUACAAUGAUGUCAUCAAGUUAAAAUAAAAGUUCAACUAAAAGUGAAGAUUUGAAGACAAAUCCUUUUAAAGAGAUGGGGAAUGAUGUGAUCCAUAGAAGACCAAGAACGUGUGAUCCAAUAAUGAAUGACUAUGACAAGGGUGUGGCCUCCAUGUCAUGCAAGAGCUUAAGAAGAAUGAAGAUUUAGCCCUUCACAAGCUAAAGGAAGCAAUACAUGUUCAUUUUUUGCCCAAUCUCACUUUUGGGCAUAACAUCAAUGAAUAGACUCAAGAUCUACUUAAGUGACUUGUUUUAUUUAGCCCAAAGAAGUCUUAAAAGAAGUCCAUCACAAACCCAAGACAUCCAAGACUCAUUAGGAAGCUCAUUGAGUCCAAAAUCAAGUAAUUAGUUGCUUUGGAACAAAAUAGGAAGUUGGUUGAUAAAGUUAGGGAACAUGGUUCCUAAAUUUAAGGAAAAGGGCAAUAACUUUUGUCUCCUAGAACAUUAAGAAGUAUGGGGUUAGUUUAUAAUGUGAAGCUUAGCUUUGUUUAAAAUAUGUAAACUACUUGCUUUUUUGUUGACUUUUAUUGGAAAAUUGUAGCAUUGCUGCCACCUCUUCAUAUACAAAGGGUGGCCUCCCAGUUGUUAAGUUUUUAACUUGUAUUUUGAAUGAGCUUGGUGAUAAAGCUUUGAAGCCUUAUCUCU